CAGUUCUCCAGCUGCAGCCCAUCGGUAUACUGCUACUGCUGGAGAGCAGUUCUUCACUUUCAGGCUAUUAAAGAGAACUGAGUAAGAAAAAGAAUACAAGAACAAAAGUGUGCAGAUGCAGGCUUUACAUUUUAUGGGAAUUUUUACCUGAAGCUGUGCUGUCUCCCAGUUGUACACUUCCUGGUGUGCAUGUUGUAUAUUCUGGUAUGAGUUGUGCAGAUACCCACAGAGAGCUCAUUUGAAGUUCAAGUGCUUGAAAUACUCAGCAAAGUGAAUUCAUAAAUAGCAUAUAUUACCAGCAUUUGUGCAAACUGUUUUACAUUUGACUGUGUUUCUGUAUUUGUCUCCUAGCCACUAAAGCCCUAGGGACUGUUUAGUCUAACCUUCUGCAUAGCAAGGCCAGAGGUUCCUGCACCAAGCUCAGCAUCUUGCAGUCGAAGCGGUCGGCAUCUUUUUGUAGACACCCAGCCUUGAUGGGAGAGCUCCAAGUGUCUAAGCACAUUCCAGGGCAAGCAAUUCCAAUGGUUAAUUACCCACACUGUUAAAGACGUGUGUCUUGUCCCCCAGCUUGAAUUUUGCUGUGUUUGGCUUCCAGGCACUGCAUCUCUGAAUGUGAAAUGUGAAGCUCUCUUGCUGCCGAUUACUUGCGUAUAUCUGUGCAAGGAAAGGAAACGAUGCUCUGUGGUUGAUUCAUCAUCUUGGAAUUUGGAGCUAACCUGCCUUCCCUCUCCAGCAUUCCUGAUGCCACUGCUUAUAUUUUAUUCCAGCACGAUUCAUUUUGGUAGCAUCCCCUCUAUGACUCUAUAAAAUUGCCUAUUUUUCUCUGCUUUCUAAGCCGGGCACAGUAUCGUUAACAACGUGUAUAAAUUCUGCUGAUAGCUUCAGGACCAAAUCCAGAACCUAUAGAAACAGCUGAGCCAAAUGCCUAAGAGAUGCAUGCAAGGGGAAAACAUGCAAAGCUCCAGAGAGGCUGACCAUGCGACAGGUUAAGUGCCUGCACUGGAUGCACGAGGAUCACACACAGGGAACCCAAAGGAUGCAUUAAGUGAUGGAUUACGUGACUGUGUUUUGCCAUCUGAACUUGCCAUCUCUUUGCAAGCUGGGCAGAACGUGUUCAGAUGAAACAAAGAACUGUUACCUGCUACAGGCCCUUUAUCUAGCUCCCUCUUGUGUAUUGAGUUAGAAGAAGUGUGGGGAGCCAUUUGUCAAGAACACCAUCGGAUGGUGCCCCUUGGCCCUUUCAGGAGUGAUCUACAUUGCUGUAAAGGCUCUCUACGCUGGCCUGAAUUUCCUCUCUUGGACGUAACGGAACCAAAUGACACCAAUAAGUUAUAUUGGCCUUCCAAGGCACUUGGUGUCAAAUUUAUUUUUGUCAGAUGUAGAUGAACGAUGGCCUUUUGGAAGUUUUAGGUGCUUGUAGUCAGCACCGUGAAGUUCAGCCUUGGGUUCUGCAUAUCUCCUAGAAAUGCCCUAUCAACAUAGGCUAGUAACAGUUUUAAUCUUGUGGACAAAUGUGUUGUAGGCAUUAUGGCCUAUGCAAUAGAUUUCAAUACACAGGUGUUAAGAAUCCCAUCACUUUUUAUAGUGCAGGGAAGUAAACUGAAACAAUUACAAAUCUCUCUUAUUUUAAAAAAUAAUCAGGAAAAUAAUCAGCUAAGGCAACCCUGGUAUCCAGCCUAACCUUGCUGCACCUAUUUUCCAUGCAGCCAUCAUAAUAUUCAAGCAUACUCUCGCAGUUCCCUUUACUUCCAAGAUACUGCCCAAGUUACAUUUAUCAUAUGCGAAGCCAGAACUUCCAGGGGCUAAAGCUAAUGUGUGAAGGACAGACUCCCUGCAGUUAGAACAGUUUUUCUCUAAUAAUAAUGAUUAAAAUUUAAAAUGCUAUCUCUUACAAUCAAUACUUUUAAACAGGAUCUUAAUUGGUUGAGUCAGUGUGCAAACAUAUGGUUACAUUUCUAGAGAAUAAUCUUCAGCUUGCUGCUGAAAUAAAGUCCAGGCGACUCGACCACUGAUUUUUCAUGGGACGCAUGACAAGGUUUGGAGUCUGUUAGCCCGUACAUCAUCAUGAAACACUUGACCUAAAAUGAUUGCCUUCUCAUUGCGUGGUCAUUUAUUCCUCCUUCCGCUUCAGGUGGGUGCUGCUGCUUUCUGGAGCUGCUGUGUGCUUAAAAGAAUUGUCACAUCUUUGCUAAAAUGGAAAAGAAUUGCUUAUAGGAGGCGAAGAGGUAGGGACUUGCUUAUUUCAGACUUGAAAAAAAUCCCUCUUCCCCUUCUCUGCCCAACCCCCAGCUCUCACAGACCUCGUCUCCAAAACCUGUGAUCAGAAGAUCAGAGCUUCCAGUUUAUAAUGCUGGGCUUCCAUUCUACUAGGGGAUGAAAUGACUAACAAUGCUACUAAGGUUUCCUGAUGCGAGAAGUCAAAUGUAUUAGAAUUUGACCAGAAAUCCACGGAGCGUGUUGUUUCCAUUCAAAGAGGUAUCUCCAUGUUCUCCUCCUGUUAAAUGAAAUAAAGGCAUCCAAUAGAACACAGAUCCCACGAAAAAGAAAUCCCUCUAUGGUAAAGGAGGUCUUUG